rnacentral:hammerhead_ribozyme from 1 species
AUCAAGUGACGAGCCUCAAAUAGGACGAAAUGCGCAUCCUGGAU